UACGGAGGGUGCAAGCGUUAUCCGGAUUCACUGGGUUUAAAGGGUGCGUAGGCGGGCAGGUAAGCCAGUGGUGAAAUCUCCGAGCUUAACUCGGAAACUGCCAUUGAUACUAUUUGUCUUGAAUAUUGUGGAGGUAAGCGGAAUAUGUCAUGUAGCGGUGAAAUGCUUAGAUAUGACAUAGAACACCAAUUGCGAAGGCAGCUGGCUACACGAAUAUUGACACUGAUGCACGAAAGCGUGGGGAUCAAACAGG
rnacentral:rRNA from 1 species